GAUGAAGAACUUAGCGAAAUGCGAUAAGUAAUGUGAAUUGCAGAAUCCAGUGAAUCAUCGAAUCUUUGAACGCACAUUGCGCCCGCCAGCAUUCUGGCGGGCAUGCCUGUUCGAGCGUCAUUUCAACCCUCGACCUCCCCUUGGGGAGGUCGGCGUUGGGGACCGGCAGCACACCGCCGGCCCUGAAAUGGAGUGGCGGCCCGUCUGCGGCGACCUCUGCGUAGUAAUACAGCUCGCACCGGAACCCCGACGCGGCCACGCCGUAAAACACCCAACUUCUGAACGUUGACCUCGAAUCAGGUAGGACUACCCGCUGAACUUAAGCAUAUCAAUAAGCGGAGGA
rnacentral:misc_RNA from 1 species